rnacentral:rRNA from 1 species
ACUCCUACGGGAGCAGCAGUGGGGAAUAUUGCACAAGUAGGGGGAAACCCUGAUGCAGCCAUGCCGCGUGUGUGAAGAAGGCCUUCGGGUUGUAAAGCACUUUCAGUAGGGAGGAAGGUAGUGUAGUUAACACCUGCAUUAUUUGACGUUACCUACAGAAGAAGCACCGGCUAACUCCGUGCCAGCAGCCGCGGUAAUACGGAGGGUGCGAGCGUUAAUCGGAAUUACUGGGCGUAAAGCGCAUGCAGGCGGCCUGUUAAGUCAGAUGUGAAAGCCCGGGGCUUAACCUCGGAAUUGCAUUUGAAACUGGCAGGCUAGAGUCUUGUAGAGGGGGGUAGAAUUUCAGGUGUAGCGGUGAAAUGCGUAGAGAUCGUAGAAGGAAUACCAGUGGCGAAGGCGGCCCCCUGGACAAAGACUGACGCUCAGAUAGCGAAAGCGUGGGGAGCAAAACAGGAUUAGAUACCCUGGUAGCACAGAG